GCCACAGGCUCUUUUCCUCCCUAGGCGUUGCUCAAAUAUGCUCAAGGCUGAGAACCUUGCCUGGAAAGGCAGAGCGCUGCCGCAGCAGGCCCGUGCUGCCGUCAUAGCGGGGCUGGAGGAAGCAGUUGCUGGCUUUCUAUACAUGUCAGAUAACAGACAUGCUACCGCUUAAAUUGUCUCCCAUAGACUCACGUUAACCUGGCUGCCAAGGUGUCUUCACUCCACAACAGGCCCCUGAUUUUCCCUGCUUUCUUAGUUUCCCUCCACUUCUGUCAAAGCUUCCAAGGAUCGAUCUCCUGAGCUGGGGCCUCCUGAAGUGGUCUUGGCUACGUAAGUCCUGUUCUCACCGUCUGACAGUUCUUUCCAAGGUAUUUGAUAGGUGUUUCGUGAGGCUCUUGGUAAGCCCUCCAUUAGGUCUCGUUCAUCCUUCUUCAUCAGUCAGGAUCCCAUCCGGAGACAGAUCUCAUCAGUCAUCUGAGCAGAGAGAAUUUAAUAUAUCGUGCUGUACAAAGUUGUGAGCUGUGUAGCUGAAAAGGCACACAGAGGACUCCAAAGCAUCUCCAAGAGCGAGAGGCCAAAGGGAAGAGGCAAAACCAUGCCCUCCCCCAACCUUGCAUUCCUUCUCCAGAAGCCUCUUCUGGGAGAGCCUGACGGAGCAGCUGCAAGCAGAGUAACGUUGCAUUGUGUAAAUGAACAGCAUCUCGAUUGUUUCCAGUUUCUGGCUACUAUGAACAAAGCCACAAUGAAAAUGGUUGAACAAGUGACUCUGAGGGCCAGAACCAGGGUUAUGACUUGGCCUGCCCCAUAAGCCACCCCAUCUGUGAUCUGCGGGAGCAUGUGAAGGUACCUGACCUGCUGACCCAAAGCUGCAGUAUCUCCACAGCACAGGACACCAGCGAAAUUUCCAGGUGGAGCCCUGCAGCUGGUUCUGGCCCUGGGCAGCUGGAAGGUGGUUCUGAGAGGAGACAAGUCUCUCUGAAAGAUGGAGAGAGGGACCACAGCUAGAGAAGCCUGGGAGCUGCCUUCUUGUAAUAGCUAAAGAUGCCAUCUCACUACAUUUUACUUUUAAAGUUCUGUUACAUUUUUAUUAAUUUUUUCUGGAGGGCUUAUUAAAAUUUGAAGAUUAUGGUA